rnacentral:rRNA from 1 species
UUAGGACGGGGAUAGACCCGGGAAACUGGGUAUAAUACCCGAUAGGUCUCGAUUGCUGGAAUGCAUCGAGAUUUAAAGCUCCGGCGCCUAAGGAUGGGUCUGCGGCCUAUCAGGUAGUAGUGGGUGUAGCGUACCUACUAGCCUACGACGGGUACGGGUUGUGAGAGCAAGAGCCCGGAGAUGGAUUCUGAGACACGAAUCCAGGCCCUACGGGGUGCAGCAGGCGCGAAAACUUUACAAUGCUGGCAACAGCGAUAAGGGAACCUCGAGUGCCAGGUUACAAAUCUGGCUGUCGAGAUGCCUAAAAAGCAUUUCAUAGCAAGGGCCGGGCAAGACCGGUGCCAGCCGCCGCGGUAACACCGGCGGCUCGAGUGGUAACCGUUAUUAUUGGGUCUAAAGGGUCUGUAGCCGGCCGGAUAAGUCUCUUGAGAAAUCUGGCAGCUUAACUGUCAGGCUUUCAGGAGAUACUGUCUGGCUCGAGGCCGGGAGAGGUGAGAGGUACUUCAGGGGUAGGGGUGAAAUCUUGUAAUCCUUGAAGGACCACCAGUGGCGAAGGCGUCUCACCAGAACGGACCUGACGGCAAGGGACGAAAGCUAGGGGCACGAACCGGAUUAGAUACCCGGGUAGUCCUAGCCGUAAACGAUACUCGCUAGGUGUCGGCCACGGUGCGACCGUUGUCGGUGCCGUAGGGAAGCCGUGAAGCGAGC